CAGUCGCCGCGGGAAUACAGAGGGUGCGAGCGUUAAUCGGAUUUACUGGGCGUAAAGCGUGCGUAGGCGGCUAAUUGAGUCGGAUGUGAAAUCCCCGAGCUUAACUUGGGAAUUGCAUUCGAUACUGGUUAGCUAGAGUGUGGGAGAGGAUGGUAGAAUUCCAGGUGUAGCGGUGAAAUGCGUAGAGAUCUGGAGGAAUACCGAUGGCGAAGGCAGCCAUCUGGCCUAACACUGACGCUGAGGUGCGAAAGCGUGGGGAGCAAACAGGAUUAGAUACCCCCGUAGUCCCUGUCUCUUAUAC
rnacentral:rRNA from 1 species